ACCAGAAUGGCCGAGUGGUUAAGGCGUUGGACUUAAGUUCCAAUAGGCGUAUGUCUGCGUGGGUUCGAACCCCACUUCUGGUA